rnacentral:rRNA from 1 species
CGAGUGAAGCGGCAACAGCUCAAAUUUGAAAUCUGGCGCAAGCCCGAGUUGUAAUUUGUAGAGGAUGUUUCUGGCGACGUGCCUUCCGAGUUCCCUGGAACGGGACGCCAUAGAGGGUGAGAGCCCCGUACGGUUGGAUGCCUAGCCUCUGUGAAACUCCUUCGACGAGUCGAGUAGUUUGGGAAUGCUGCUCUAAAUGGGAGGUAUACGUCUUCUAAAGCUAAAUACCGGCCAGAGACCGAUAGCGCACAAGUAGAGUGAUCGAAAGAUGAAAAGCACUUUGAAAAGAGGGUUAAAAAGUACGUGAAAUUGUUGAAAGGGAAGCGUUCAUGACCAGACUUGGGCAGGUUGAUCAUCCGUGGUUCUCCGCGGUGCACUCUGCCUGCCCAGGCCAGCAUCAGUUCGCCCCGGGGGAUAAAGGCUCUGGGAAUGUGGCUCCUCCGGGAGUGUUAUAGCCCACUGCGUAAUACCCUGGGGUGGACUGAGGUUCGCGCUCUGCAAGGAUGCUGGCGUAAUGGUCAUCAACGACCCGUCUUGAAACACGGACCAAGGAGUCGUCUUCGUAUGCGAGUGUUCGGGUGUCAAACCCCUACGCGUAAUGAAAGUGAACGUAGGAGAGAGCUUCGGCGCAUCUCCGACCGAUCCUGAUGUUCUCGGAUGGAUUUGAGUAAGAGCAUACGGGGCCGGACCCGAAAGAAGGUGAACUAUGCCUGUAUAGGGUGAAGCCAGAGGAAACUCUGGUGGAGGCUCGCAGCGGUUCUGACGUGCAAAUCGAUCGUCAAAUAUGGGCAU